rnacentral:lncRNA from 1 species
AAUUAAAAAAAUAUAUAUAUUUAAUUUAUUUAUUUAACAGAGGGAGAGGGAGAAGCAGACUCCUUGCUGAGUAGGGAGCCCGCCGUGGGACUCAAUCCCAGGACCCCGGGAUCAUGACCUGAGCCGAAGGCAGGUGCUUAACCAACUGAACCACCCAGGUGUCCCAAAUCACAGACCCUUUAAAUAUCAUGUCCUCUGCGUGGCCUCCUCAUUCACCCACCGGAGCACGAGCUUGUUCCUCCUUGUGCCGCGUUCCUCCGCUGCACACCGCGGUAGAAGUGUAGAAGUACAGCCUCUGGUUUGAACCAGGACACCAGCUGCAUCCCUUCCUGAGGGACCUUGGUUUCUUAAGUAGAACCUAGAACCUAGGGCAUCUCCCUAAAGCUCUGGGGGUGGUGGUGGAGGGUAGGAUAUAUGCUAACUUUCCAUGGUACCGGGCACCCAGAAAUCCCACCACAGACACUAGCGCUUCCUUAUUAUUAAUUUAUUUCCCCCUGCCGUAAUCCCUUCUUUUGUAAGCCUCACUCUUUCUAGACUGACCCACCGGAGGGCUGGGGCUUGGUCUUACUCAUCACUGAACCUUCUGCCUCUAGCCCAGUGCCUGGCGCUUCAUAAGCAUCACAUGAGGAGGGUGUCCUCGGCAGCAGGGCACACGGGUGGUAUCCAACGUCUACUCAGCGCUUACUCUUUGCCAGGCUGUGUCCUAAGCCCUUUACAUGCUCGAACUCAUUUAAGAUGAUGGUCUUACAGGAUCGCUCUUCUCACUUAACAGACGAGGAAACUGGUCACAGAGAAAUAACUUGUGCAAGGUGACAUUUGAACACUGGAGUUGAUGUGUAAGCCCAGAGAGGUUCGAACCUUAGGUGUUCCACUGAGAGUGGGAGUUCCGGUGGUUGGUGGCAGGCACACCAUUUAGUGCAUGGUGACUACGUGUUUGGGACCAGACUACAAGCGGGCAAGUCACACAGGAGGGGCCUUCCAUGCAUCUUUCCAUCUCCAGCGCUCACCAAAAUGCCUGGCACACAGCAGGUGCUCACUAAAUGAAAAUGCAAUUUGAGUUGAACAAAGUAAGC